UACGUAGGGUGCAAGCGUUGUCCGGAAUUAUUGGGCGUAAAGGGCUCGUAGGCGGUCCAUCGCGUCGGGAGUGAAAAGCUGGGGCUUAACCCCAGUCCUGCUCCCGAUACGGGUGGACUAGAGGUAGGUAGGGGAGAUCGGAAUUCCUAGUGUAGCGGUGAAAUGCGCAGAUAUUAGGAGGAACACCGGUGGCGAAGGCGGAUCUCUGGGCCUUACCUGACGCUGAGGAGCGAAAGCAUGGGGAGCGAACAGG
rnacentral:rRNA from 1 species